rnacentral:rRNA from 1 species
GACGAACGCUGGCGGCGUGCUUAACACAUGCAAGUCGAACGGAAAGGCCCUGCUUUUGUGGGGUGCUCGAGUGGCGAACGGGUGAGUAACACGUGAGUAACCUGCCCUUGACUUUGGGAUAACUUCAGGAAACUGGGGCUAAUACCGGAUAGGAGCUCCUGCUGCAUGGUGGGGGUUGGAAGGUUUCGGCGGUUGGGGAUGGACUCGCGGCUUAUCAGCUUGUUGGUGGGGUAGUGGCUUACCAAGGCUUUGACGAGUAGCCGGCCUGAGAGGGUGACCGGCCACAUUGGGACUGAGAUACGGCCCAGACUCCUACGGGAGGCAGCAGUGGGGAAUAUUGCACAAUGGGCGGAAGCCUGAUGCAGCAACGCCGCGUGCGGGAUGACGGCCUUCGGGUUGUAAACCGCUUUCGCCUGUGACGAAGCGUGAGUGACGGUAAUGGGUAAAGAAGCACCGGCUAACUACGUG